rnacentral:rRNA from 1 species
ACGCUGGCGGCGUGCCUAACACAUGCAAGUCGAGCGAGAAUCUUGAAUUUGAUUCCUUCGGGAUGAAGAUUUAAGAGGAAAGCGGCGGACGGGUGAGUAACGCGUGAGUAACCUGCCUUCAGAGGGGGACAACAUUCCGAAAGGGAUGCUAAUACCGCAUGACAUUGUUUAAUCGCAUGGUUAAACAAUCAAAGAUUUAUCGCCUGAAGAUGGACUCGCGUCUGAUUAGCUAGUUGGUGGGGUAACGGCUCACCAAGGCGACGAUCAGUAGCCGAACUGAGAGGUUGAUCGGCCACAUUGGGACUGAGACACGGCCCAGACUCCUACGGGAGGCAGCAGUGGGGAAUAUUGGGCAAUGGGCGCAAGCCUGACCCAGCAACGCCGCGUGAAGGAAGAAGGUUUUCGGAUCGUAAACUUCUAUCCUUGGUGAAGAUAAUGACGGUAGCCGAGAAGGAAGCCCCGGCUAACUACGUG